rnacentral:rRNA from 1 species
CAGUCGCCGCGGUAAUACGUAGGGUGCAAGCGUUAAUCGGAAUUACUGGCGUAAAGCGUGCGCAGGCGGUUUGUUAAGACAGAUGUGAAAUCCCCGGGCUCAACCUGGGAACUGCAUUUGUGACUGGCAAGCUAGAGUAUGGCAGAGGGGGGUGGAAUUCCGCGUGUAGCAGUGAAAUGCGUAGAUACACGGAGGAACACCGAUGGCGAAGGCAGCCCCCUGGGCCAAUACUGACGCUCAUGCACGAAAGCGUGGGGAGCAAACAGGAUUAGAUACCCGUGUAGUCCCUGUCUCUUAUACC